GCUUGUGGUGGUGUCUGAGUGGCGGUGGUGGUGCUAGCAGUGCAGCGGGAGAGAAGAACGCCUCUACAGCCGUCAAUGGCAGACGCCUUGCGAGCAGCCGCUGCCGCAAUCGCCGGACGCAGCCGCAGUUCCUCAGUGGUCGCCGGUCGCCGCCGUUCUCCCGUCGUGUCGCCGUCCCAGCAUGAAGGUAAUUGGCCCCUUCUCCAAAAAUCCCCCUGAAAAGACGGAGCGGCGCUAUCUUUCACAGGCACUCGGCGACAAUUUGCAAUGGCGACAGUCAUGGCGGAGCACGGACUCCCAGCACGGGCGGCGCUCUUUCAGAAAGGAGCCGAAGAGGACGACCCAUUAC
rnacentral:lncRNA from 1 species